GACGAACGCUGGCGGCGUGCUUAACACAUGCAAGUCGAACGGAAAGGCCCUGCUUUUGUGGGGUGCUCGAGUGGAGAACGGGUGAGUAACACGUGAGUAACCUGCCCUGAACUUGGGAUUACUUCUAGAAACCGGGGGUAAUACCGGAAAGGAGAUGCUGCCGCACGGGGGGGGGUUGGAAGUUUCGGAGGUUGGGGGUGGACUCGCGGCUUAUCAGCUUGUUGGUGGGGUAGUGGCUUACCAAGGCUUUGACGGGUAGCCGGCCUGAGAGGGUGACCAGCCACAUUGGGACUGAGAUACGGCCCAGACUCCUACGGGAGGCAGCAGUGGGGAAUAUUGCACAAUGGGCGGAAGCCUGAUGCAGCAACGCCGCGUGCGGGAUGACGGCCUUCGGGUUGUAAACCGCUUUCGCCUGUGACGAAGCGUGAGUGACGGUAAUGGGUAAAGAAGCACCGGCUAACUACGUG
rnacentral:rRNA from 1 species